AUCUCAUUGGUUAUCAUACCCGCUUUUUAUCAUCCUCUCUUUCAACUUUUUGUUCAUUCUCUAGAGCUCUCUGUUAUGCCGAAUUGUUGGCGUAGUUGAAGACCCUCGAUUCAGUUCUGUCGUCGAAUUCGAUCUACGAAUCGGCGUCGUAUACACAUGGAUCUAGUAACUCCAUUUUGAUUCAUGAUCCAGAAGACGGAUCUUAGCUGCUGAGAUCUCAGACGAUCGGUUGAAGAGCUGAUCUGAUCAAGCAUCAUGAUCUCUCGGCAAAAGCUAGGUUCGUCGGAUCUGUGAUAUGCUUUGCGGAUUGAUGAGUCCUAGAGGAGCAAUUGAAGAAGAGGGAAGAGGAUUGAGAUAUGCGAAUUGAUAAAUGAGAUUGAAGGAUGUAUGAGAUGUUUGUUAAGGACGAUGAGUUCUGAUUAGCAUCUUUGUCAUCCGACCUUUGCCAUGAUAGGUGCGCUUGCAUGGCAGGUCACACAAAAUAUUAAUAAUAAAAAUAAUCGUUUUGUGUUUGGUGAGGGGGAGUUCGCACGGGAGAUUUUUUUUUUAAAAGCCCGGGUUCUCCCUCUCACCUUUGUGUCUUGCCCUCUCGCUUUCACUCUCUCUCUCUCUCUCUCUGAUUCCAUUCCAUUGCGCCAUAAUAUCUCUCCGUACACAUACUUUUUUGAAUUAUGAACUCGAGCAGAUCUGAAGUCAAACGCGGCCUUAUCUAAGUUCCAACAUACUCCACAGAGGCAAAAGGUACUUUGAAUUUGAGUCUUUAUUCGUAUUACAAUCUCAACAUCGGCUUUAAUUUGCUCCUGGAGAAAUGAUUCUACUCAUCUUUGGCAUAGUAAUGUUUAUGUUCCAAUUUUUAUUUUCGUUAAAGAAACGUCCAACAGCUUAACAAACAGCCUUAACUUUCAUUUGGUCUAGUGAGUUGUUAUUUUGGUGAGAUCUAUUGUUAAAAUGGUAUUUAAUACAAAGAACGAUCAUUUUAGAGUCGGAUCAGUUUUCACUGUAUUGCAAGUAUAUUUGUACUGUGUUUUUCAUAUAGCUAGAGUUUUGCAAAGUCUUUGGAGUCUGAGACCUUGGCGGUGUUAUCAGCUCUUGCAGGAUUAUUUUCAUGUUGAUGCAAUGAGGUAUCUAUUAGAACAAGUAACUUGUCUGACUUUGUUGUGUAUGAUUUGUCAAGAGUUCGAGCCUACAGCUCUGUUUCUUUGUUCAAAAGAGUAUUUUGUUCUUGACAAAUUUAAAGUAAUUAUUGAAUUUUGAGUUUAAAGCUUCAAUUAUAUAUUGCUGUUGCUAUGUAUGCAUCAGACAUUUUUUUUUUUCAGAUUAUGUUUCAUUUUCUAUUUAUGCUUUGAUCUUUUAUAUAACUUACAGUAUUUAAACAUUGCGAGAUUAUGAAUACCUUUGUCGCUCUAUUUCUGAUAAGGUUUUGUCAUUAGGAUGCUUCGUGUGCAGAGAUUGAGGCGUCAUGUUGUUACUAAUAGGAAGGUUUGAGUAAUAGUAGAUCUGUAAGCUCAAAAUGGCAGAGCUCUCAUUAUGAGAGGGUAAUGCCACAAAACGAAUUUGCUUGCAAAAGGACAUCCUUUUGAUUUGGCAAUUGGCGGAGGGACCGAUGAACUGGUCAUCGGUAAAGCAAUGGCGCUGAUCAACUAUGUGACUUGGAUUGCAAGCAGCUGGGCAAGGACUUUAUCCAUGUAUGGUCACACAAAAGGAGAUGAUUUUUUUGCCUAAUGCAUACUAACAAGUAACAACCUUGUCUUGGUUGGGGUCUUACAUUCAUUCCAAAAAGGCUGUUUUGUGCCUUGAAUCAACAAAAAAAAAGACAUUUUUGGCAAUGUGUACUUUAAU